UUUAAAAAUUUUGGCUCUCAAAAGAAAUUUCAAUUGUUAUACUGUUGAUAUUUUGGCUCUGCUGACUAAUGAGUUUGCCGACCAAGGGGUUAGGAAAACUGUGGCUAGAGAGGCAAAAUAGGAAGCUUCCCUGGUAGUCGGUAGCCAACUGGACUCAUCCCAAAGAUACCAUUGACAGCCAGAAACAACGGACAAGAGGUCCACAUGAGGGUGAGGGGUAGCCCCAACAAGCCCUCCCAGUAACAAUCAAUGUUUCU